rnacentral:rRNA from 1 species
GACGUAGGGUGCAAGCGUUGUCCGGAUUUACUGGGCGUAAAGGGCGCGUAGGCGGUCUGUUAAGUGUAGAGUGAAAUCUCCAGGGCUCAACCCGGAAACUGCUCUGCAUACUGGCAGACUUGAGGGACGAAGAGGUAUGUGGAAUUCCUGGUGUAGCGGUGAAAUGCGUUGAUAUCAGGAGGAACACCCAUGGCUAAGGCAGCAUACUGGUCGUUUCCUGACUCUGAGGCGCUAUAGCGUGAGUAGCAAACAGG